CGAGCCUCGCGUGAUACGACAUCCUUCGAAGUUCGAAAUCGUCAACAAUCAUAAAGUGCUGCUACAAAUUUUGAUACCGGUACCAACUUGAGUUUUGAAUUAGUUCGUGGUGCAUUGAGGUUGAUGUAUUGUUUUAUAGAUAAAGCCGAUUGCCGAUCUGCAUGAGCAGAAUCGUGUAUUCUUGAACGAGCUCAUCUCCACAUAUUGAAAUAUUGUCAUUGAAUGGAAAAUUCUUCACGUGCUUUUUAAACUUUCAAAG